CUUGCCCUAGAAGCCUUGCAGAUGUGGCUGCCAUGUAUAUCAGUAGUUGGCAGAUAGGAGAGAAGCUACAUCUGUGGUCAAUGUUCUGACCUAUUUAUUACAUCUGAACGAUUAGUAGCCUAACAUU